UGUAGAUGACCAUGCUGCACCAGGGCGC
rnacentral:piRNA from 1 species